AUACGGAGGAUCCGAGCGUUAUCCGGAUUUAUUGGGUUUAAAGGGUGCGCAGGCGGGAGAUUAAGUCGGCGGUGAAAUUUUGCAGCUCAACUGUAAAAGUGCCUUCGAAACUGGUUUCCUUGAGUGUAGAUGAAGUAGGCGGAAUUUGUGGUGUAGCGGUGAAAUGCAUAGAUAUCACGAGGAAAUCCGAUUGCGCAGGCAGCUUACUAAACUACUACUGACGCUCAGGCACGAAGGCGUGGGGAUCAAACAGGAUUAGAUACCCUGGUAGUCCACGCAGUAAACGAUGAUUACUAGCUGUUUGCGAUACAAUGUAAGCGGCUGAGCGAAAGCGUUAAGUAAUCCACCUGGGGAGUACGUUCGCAAGAAUGAAACUUAAAGGAAUUGACGGGG
rnacentral:rRNA from 1 species